rnacentral:rRNA from 1 species
UACGGGGGGGAGCAAGCGUUGUUCGGAUUUACUGGGCGUAAAGGGCGCGUAGGCGGCGUGACAAGUCACUUGUGAAAUCUCCGGGCUUAACUCGGAACGGUCAAGUGAUACUGUCGUGCUAGAGUACAGAAGGGGGCAACUGGAAUUCUCGGUGUAGCGGUGAAAUGCGUAGAUAUCGAGAGGAACACCUGCGGCGAAGGCGGGUUGCUGGGCUGAUACUGACGCUGAGGCGCGAAAGCGUGGGUAGCAAACAGG